GACGAACGCUGGCGGCGUGCUUAACACAUGCAAGUCGAACGGAAAGGCCCUGCUUGCGGGGUGCUCGAGUGGCGAACGGGUGAGUAACACGAGGGUGAUCUGCCCCUUACUUUGGGAUAAGCCUGGGAAACUGGGUCUAAUACUGGAUAGGACCAUGCUGUAGGUGGUGUGGUGGAAAGAUUAGUUUCGGUAAGGGAUGAGCUCGCGGCCUAUCAGCUUGUUGGUGGGGUAAUGGCCUACCAAGGCGUCGACGGGUAGCCGGCCUGAGAGGGUGGACGGCCACAUUGGGACUGGGAUACGGCCCAGACUCCUACGGGAGGCAGCAGUGGGGAAUAUUGCACAAUGGGCGCAAGCGUGAUGCAGCGACGCCGCGUGGGGGAUGACGGCCUUCGGGUUGUAAACUCCUUUCAGCCAUGACGAAGCCCUUGUGGUGACGGUAGUGGUAGAAGAAGCACCGGCUAACUACGUG
rnacentral:rRNA from 1 species